UGGGGAAUAUUGCGCAAUGGGCGCAAGCCUGAUGCAGCCAUGCCGCGUGUAUGAAGAAGGCCUUCGGGUUGUAAAGUACUUUCAGCGGGGAGGAAGGCGAUGCGGUUAAUAACCGCGUCGAUUGACGUUACCCGCAGAAGAAGCACCGGCUAACUCCGUGCCAGCAGCCGCGGUAAUACGGAGGGUGCAAGCGUUAAUCGGAAUUACUGGGCGUAAAGCGCACGCAGGCGGUCUGUCAAGUCGGAUGUGAAAUCCCCGGGCUCAACCUGGGAACUGCAUCCGAAACUGGCAGGCUUGAGUCUCGUAGAGGGGGGUAGAAUUCCAGGUGUAGCGGUGAAAUGCGUAGAGAUCUGGAGGAAUACCGGUGGCGAAGGCGGCCCCCUGGACGAAGACUGACGCUCAGGUGCGAAAGCGUGGGGAGCAAACA
rnacentral:rRNA from 1 species